rnacentral:rRNA from 1 species
UACGUAGGGUGCGAGCGUUGUCCGGAAUUAUUGGGCGUAAAGGGCUCGUAGGCGGUUUGUCGCGUCGGGAGUGAAAACCUUGGGCUAACUCAGGGCUUGCUUUCGAUACGGGCAGACUAGAGGUAUGCAGGGGAGAACGGAAUUCCUGGUGUAGCGGUGAAAUGCGCAGAUAUCAGGAGGACACCGGUGGCGAAGGCGGUUCUCUGGGCAUGAUCUGACGCUGGGGAGCGAAAGCGUGGGGAGCGAACGAGGA